AGUGAACGCUGGCGGUAGGCCUAACACAUGCAAGUCGAACGGCAGCACAGUAAGAGCUUGCUCUUACGGGUGGCGAGUGGCGGACGGGUGAGGAAUACAUCGGAAUCUACUUUUUCGUGGGGGAUUACGUAGGGAAACUUACGCUACUACCGCAUACGACCACGGGUGAAAUCCAGGGAUCUUCGGCCCUUGCGCUAUUGAAUGAGCCGAUGUCGGAUUAGCUAGUUGGCGGGGUAAGGCCCACCAAGGCGACGAUCCGUAGCUGGUCUGAGAGGAUGAUCAGCCACACUGGAACUGAGACACGGUCCAGACUCCUACGGGAGGCAGCAGUGGGGAAUAUUGGACAAUGGGCGCAAGCCUGAUCCAGCCAUACCGCGUGGGUGAAGAAGGCCUUCGGGUUGUAAAGCCCUUUUGUUGGGAAAGAAAAGCAGCAGGUUAAUACCCCGAUGUUCUGACGGUACCCAAAGAAUAAGCACCGGCUAACUUCGUG
rnacentral:rRNA from 1 species